rnacentral:rRNA from 1 species
GGAGGAUCCUGCCAGUAGUCAUAUGCUUGUCUCAAAGAUUAAGCCAUGCAUGUGUAAGUAUGAAUUAAUUCAGACUGUGAAACUGUGAAUGGCUCAUUAAAUCAGUUAUAGUUUGUUUGAUGGUACUUGCUACUCGAAUAACCGUAGUAAGUCUAGAGCUAAUACGUGCAACAAACCCCGACUUCUGGAAGGGACGCAUUUAUUAGAUAAAAGGUCGACGUGGGCUUUCGCCCGUUGCUACAAUGAUUCAUGAUAACUCGAUGGAUCGCACGACCCUCGUGUCGAUAACGCAUCAUUCAAAUUUCUACCCUAUCAACUUUCGAUGGUAGGAUAGUGGCGUACUAUGGUAGUAUGGGUAAUGGAGAAUUAGGGUUCGAUUCCAAAAAGGGAGCUUGAGAAACGACUGCCAUAUCCAAGGAAGGCAGCAGGCACACAAAUUACCCAAUCCUGACACGGGGAGGUAGUGACUAUAAAUAACAAUACCGGGCUCUCAAAGUCUGGUAAUUGGAAUGAGUACAAUCUAAAUCCCUUAACGAGGAUCCAUUGGAGGGUAAGUCUGGUGCCAGUAGCCAUGGUAAUUCCAACUCCAAUAGCGUAUAUUUAAGUUGCAGUUAAAAAGCUCGUAGUUGGACCUUUUGGUUAGGUCGAAAGGUCUGCCUACAUUGUGCAUCGAUCGUCUCAUCCCUUUUGCAGGCAAUGCACUCCUGGCCUUAACUGGUCGGGUCGUGCCUCCAGCGCUGUUACUUUGAAGAAAUUAGAGUGCUCAAAGCAAGCCUACGCUUUGGAUACAUUAGCAUGGGAUAACAUUAUAGGAUUUCAGUCCUAUUAGUUGGCCUUCGGGAUCGGAGUAAUGAUUAACAGAGACAACCAGGGGCAUUCGUAUUUCAUAGUCAGAGGUAAAAUUCUUGGAUUUUUGAAAGACGAACAACUGCAAAAGCAUUAGUCAAGGAUGUUUUCAUUAAUCAAGAACGAAAGCUGAGUGCUCGAAGACAAUCAGAUACCAACCUAGUCUCAACCAUAAACGAUGCUGACCAGGGAUUGACGAAUGUUGCUUAUAGGACUCCGUCGGCACCAUAUGAGAAAUCAAAGUUUUCGGGCUCCGGGGGAGUAUGGUCACAAGGCUGAAACUUAAAGGAAUUGAUGGAAGGGCACCACCAGGAGUGGAGCAGCGACUUAAUUUGACUCAACAUGGGGAAACUUACCAGGUCCAGACAUAGUAAGGAUCGACAGACUGAGAGCUCUUUCUUUUUUUUUUAUCGGUAAAUGUAAACAUAUUGAUAAAAAAUGUACCAUGUACAAGUACACUGGGCAUACCCGAGUGAGACAAUGUCCAUAAUCAAAUACAAGUACACCGGCCAUACUCAGGCGAAUCAAUGUCCAUAAACAUAAACAACUACUCCGGGCAUACCCAGGAGAAACAAGAGAAGGCAAAAUACAUAAAAGAUCAAUGAUCCACGGCCAAGGAUUCUAAAUGAAUCAAGACAUCCGAAUACAAAGUAAACAUGACUUUGUAUACGUGUGUCUUGAUCAGUCUCGAGGUCUUCAAAUAUCUUCCUAUUUCACGUAAGCCAAAUGUAGUACACUGUGCUUGCAAGAGCAACUCUCUUCACCUUGUUAAGCUAAGAAGUCCCACGGGCCUCCUUUU